rnacentral:rRNA from 1 species
CUCGUAGGCGGUUCGUCGCGUCCGGUGUGAAAGUCCAUCGCUUAACGGUGGAUCUGCGCCGGGUACGGGCGGGCUGGAGUGCGGUAAGGGAGACUGGAAUUCCCGGUGUAACGGUGGAAUGUGUAGAUAUCGGGAAGAACACCAAUGGCGAAGGCAGGUCUCUGGGCCGUUACUGACGCUGAGGAGCGAAAGCGUGGGGAGCGAACA